UACGGAGGGUGCAAGCGUUGUUCGGAAUCAUUGGGCGUAAAGCGCGUGUAGGCGGCUAUCUAAGUCUGAUGUGAAAGCCCGGGGCUUAACCCCGGAAGUGCAUUGGAUACUGGAUGGCUAGCGGUCGAGAGAGGGAAGUGGGAUUCCUGGUGUAGGGGUGAAAUCCGUAGAUAUCAGGAGGAACAUCGGAGGCGAAGGCGGCUUCCUGGCUCGUUUCUGACGCUGAGACGCGAAAGCGCGGGGAGCAAUCAGG
rnacentral:rRNA from 1 species